CUAAAUUGUUAUAAAUGCACAGAAAGUUGUUUCUGUGGUGCUGAACAUUAAAACAUAGGUUGUUUACUACCCCAAACAAAUUUUGUCAUGCAGAUUUAAUGAAAUUAUUUGAUUUUUACCCCUUAUAUCAUUGCGUCAUACUAUGUACUUGGCAGAUAGCAUAGCCUAAUGUAAACACUGCAGAAACUCACAAAAGUACCAUUUAUUAUUCCAAAUGAAAUUUUUAUAUCUUAAAUUUUAUUAACUGAUGUAAAUAAAAACAGUUAAAUGACCAUGACUGCACUUUUGAUCAAUUUGUAGUACUUUACUGACACCAGAUGAAAAAAAGGGGGGUCAAUAUUCCUUGACACUUCAAUACCUUGGAUUUUUUUACUAAAUUCAUUGCAAAAAUUGUUGAAAGUCUUUAAAGAAGUAGAACAAACAAGGAAAAAUCAGCAAAAACUGAUCUUGAUAUUGAAAGUUUAUGUUCCUGUAGCCCAAAAUGAAAUUUUCAAGUAUUUUCUAUCAAAGUCAUACAUUACAGUCAGUUUAAAUUGAGCUGUGAAAUUUUAAAUUAUAAGUCGCAUUAAUGCUCAGAUAGGCUGUUUUUAACUACAAAUUGACUAAGGAUUAAGAAUAAAGCAAAAUAAAAAGAUUUCUAAUCAACUUUUUUGUCUCUUUUAGGUGUCAUACCACCAAUUACUCCCUCAAAUUUAGAACGUAUGUGAAAGUAGGCCUACUCGGACAAAAAAAGUGCAUUUGAUGUCAUUGUUCACCUAAACUAACCAACAAAUUUGCAGAAAUGAAAGUUUUGUUGAAAGAGAAAUAUAUUAAGAC
rnacentral:lncRNA from 1 species